GGUGGCCCAAGUCCCGACCGCCAGAUUGUCACGUUUUAAGUACGCGGGGUCGCGUUGCGCGUCGUAACAGACCAUUCUUCCCCAGCGACGGCGAAGCGUUGUCGGAAGGCGUCAUGGCCGCCGGCGAGCCCACCAGCAGCCGCCUAGGGUUCCUGGUGCCGCCGCCUAGGGCUUCUGCCAGCCGCACGCCGUCGCUGCUGUCCCUGCUACCUGCACGCUUCCCGCGGGAGACCCGCCUUCCUCCCUCACCUUCCCGCUGUUCUGUUCGUCAGGCGCGCACACGACGCAGGUCUUGGAUGUUUGAGAUUAAAGGCAACUGUGUGGAUUGUUCAUGAUAUCUAAGGCAAGUACAUGAUGACCCCUUUUUAUAUGGUUGCCCAUUGUGUGUCAAGUUUCUGCUAAUAUAUUUGAUAUGAGGCAAUUGUAUGAAGAUCCUUUUUCCGAUGUGGGGUUGUUUGUGUUCCAUGAUGAUUCCUUCCUUAUGCGUGCUUGUAUGUGUUUUCAGAUUGCUUGGUUGUUUUUUCAUUCCUCGGUUUUCAGAGUUUGUUCAUUAUCCAUGCGAUUCAAUUCAUUCAUUUCAGAAGAAGGAUUGCAGAUGGUUAGUCCCCGCCACUGUUGCAGGGUGGUCAGUCCACGCCAUCCCUGUUGUCACAUGAUGAUUAGUCCCCGUCACAUGUGGUUAAGUCCAGAUUGUUCAUUCAGAUUAUUCAUUGCAUUCAUCUUCAAUUCCAUUUCGCUGAAGUUGUUCCUUUCCAAUGAAGAUGUGAUGAUGAUUAAUAUUCAAUGCUCUUUUCGGGUUCCAUAUUGUACUUGCUGAGUUUCAUACUCAUUCUUGCAUUCUUGUUGUUUUAUUUGGUUUUUCAAGUACAAUGAAUAAAGGCAUGUAUGGGAGGGAGUAGCACGACUUCUUAUGACA